GAUAAACGCUGGCGGCGUGCUUAACACAUGCAAGUCGAACGAAGUGUUUCUUUCGUUGGGAACUUAUUGGCGGACGGGUGAGUAAGGCGUGCGUAAGUUGCCCUGCACAGGGUGACAACUGAUGUAAACGGCCGCGAAUACCUCAUAAGCACUUAGUACUGCAUCGUGCAGAGGGAAAAAGAGCGGUCCGGUAUAGGCUGGACCCGCGUCUGAUUAGCCGGUUGGCAGGGUAACGGCCUAACAAAGCGACGAUCAGUAGCCGAGCUGGGAGGAUGUCCGGCCACAUUGGGGCUGAGACCCAGCCCCGAACCGUACGCAAGGCAGCAGUGUGGAAUAUUGCACACUGGAGGCAGCUCUGAUGCAGCGGCGCCGCGUGAGUGAAGAAGUAUUUCGGUAUGUAAAGCUGUAUCAGCAGGAAAGAAAGUGACGGUACCUGACUAAGAAGCACCGGCUAACUACGUG
rnacentral:rRNA from 1 species